rnacentral:rRNA from 1 species
CUAUGCAUGCAAGUCGAGCGACGCAUACCCAGUCCGUAAGGACAGGGUAUGACGGAGCGGCGAACGGGUGCGUAACACGUGAGCAACCUGCCCCACAGAUCGGGAUAGCCCAGGGAAACCUGGAUUAAUACCGGAUAUUCUCCUUGGACCACAUGGUCCGUUGAGGAAAUGCCUUUGUGCUGUGGGAUGGGCUCGCGACUUAUCAGUUAGUUGGUGGGGUAACGGCCUACCAAGACUAUGACGAGUAGCUGGUCUGAGAGGACGAUCAGCCACACUGGAACUGAGACACGGUCCAGACUCCUACGGGAGGCAGCAGCAGGGAAUCUUGCGCAAUGGACGAAAGUCUGACGCAGCGACACCGCGUGGGGGAUGAAGGCCUUCGGGUUGUAAACCCCUUUUAGGAGGGAAGAAAUUGACGGUACCUCCAGAAAAAGGACCGGCCAACUACGUGCCAGCAGCCGCGGUAAUACGUAGGGUCCGAGCGUUAUCCGGAAUCAUUGGGCGUAAAGAGCUCGUAGGCGGUUCAGCAAGUCGGCUGUGAAAGUUCGAGGCUCAACCUCGAAAUUGCAGUCGAUACUGCUGUGACUUGAAUUCGGUAGAGGAGAAUGGAAUUCCCGGUGUAGCGGUGAAAUGCGCAGAUAUCGGGAGGAACACCAGUAGCGAAGGCGGUUCUCUGGGCCGAUAUUGACGCUGAGGAGCGAAAGCGUGGGGAGCAAACAGGAUUAGAUACCCUGGUAGUCCACGCCGUAAACGUUGGGUUGCUAGGUGUGGCGGUCUACCAAU